rnacentral:rRNA from 1 species
AAAUCCCAAAGCUUAACUUUGGAACUGCAAUUAAAACUGCUCGACUAGAGUUUGAUAGAGGAAAGCGGAAUACAUAGUGUAGAGGUGAAAUUCGUAGAUAUUAUGUAGAACACCAGUUGCGAAGGCGGCUUUCUGGAUCAACACUGACGCUGAGGCGCGAAAGUAUGGGUAGCAAAGAGGAUUAGAUACCCUCGUAGUCCAUACCAUAAACGAUGAUUGCUAGAUGUUGGAAAUUUAUUUUCAGUAUCGCAGCUAACGCAUUAAGCAAUCCGCCUGGGGAGU